CUGGAUUCUUAACCCACUGCACCACAGCGGGAACUUCUAAGGGAUGCUUUUGAAAGCCAAAGUCAGAGGGUGUCCCCCCCCUGCUCAAAACCCUCCAAAGGCUCCAUCCUUGCGCAGAAGCAAACCCUAUGCCCAGGCAAUUACCUGCAAGACCCUCCGAGAUCUGCCCACCUGCACUCUCUCCAGCCACACUGCCCACCACCCUCUUCCUCAUUCACUCUGUUCCAGCCCUGCUGGCUUCCUUGCAGUUGCUUCCACCUGCCAAUCCCACUUCUGCCACAGGGCCUUUGCAUGUGCUGCACCCACCCACACCCACACCCGUACCCUUCCCCUAAAAGUCUUCACAGCUGGUUCCCUUAAUUCAGAGCUCUGUCUCUGACCCGACGAAAUGACACCGAGUCCCCCUAUGCCUUAUCACCCUGGCUGGCACAUAGCAGGCUCUUGAUAAAGACGAUGGAGGAGGAGUUCCCGUCAUGGCUCAUGGUUAACGAAUCCGACUAGGAACCAUGAGGUUGCAGGUUCGAUCCCUGGCCUUGCUCAGUGGGUUAACGAUCCAGCGUUGCCGUGAGCUGUGGUGUAGGUUGCAGACGUAGGCCGGUGGCUACAGCUCCGAUUAGACCCCUAGCCUGGGAACCUCCAUAUGCCAUGGGUGUGGCCCCAGAAAAGGCAAAAAGACAACAACAAAAUAAAUGAUGGAGGAAUCAUAAGAGACCCAAUACACACAGUAGGCGCUCAAUAAACAACCGUUACUGCUGUGGUAGUAACAAACUGUCACCAUUAUUCUUGCACCAAACCAACCGGUCCAUGCCAGGGCCUGAUGUCACAUCACCUGGCCCAUUCAGCCAGGCCUGGCAUUCGAUAACACCCUCUCCUCCGCCCGCACGGCCUGCCUGUGGGCACCAAGGAGCUGGAAGCCGCACACAGAAGAAGGAAGUCCUGUGCGGGAGGGCAGUAGGGGGACGCCCAGGCCUGGUUGCCAGGCAACCCCACCCCAUCACUCAAAACACCGGCAGGCGGGCUCCACCAGGAAGGGCUGUGUGUUUACACGGCUGUCUUAUCUGCUGGCCUGGCCGCCCGUGUUUGCGCCCAGGUUUCAAAAGGACAAAGUACCUCAAGGAGCAACGCUGAUGGGGACGAGAGUCACAGUGCGCAGGACAUGUGUCUGCAGGGGGAGCAGCUCAGGCUGCUGAGAACCUACUGUGUGCCACUUUCACCCUGCUCGGGACCACCCUUGCGGUGUCAUGGGUUUAAAUGAGAAAAGGCAGGAACGGGGCUUGCCGGGGGCCUGGCGCUCUGAGAAGAGCUCGGUAAAGAUUCAGCACUGCCACGGUUAUUCCUUUUAUUCUCACCAAUUUGGCAGCAGCCUGGCUGCCUGUCUCCACCUUCACACCUCAUUCCAUGCCACCCCCCCACCCCCCGCCCCUCACGCACUCACAGUCAGGUUCCUCUGCCGCAGCACCCUGCUGUGUGGGGCAAGGUGGUUCUUUGCAGUGGAGGCUGUCCUGUGCCCUGCCCGCAGUUGAGCAGCGGCCCUGGCCUCUACCACUGUCGGUGGUAUGGAGAAUCGAGGUUCCUCCAAAAAUGAAGAGAACUGUCAUGGGAUCGACUCCAGUCCCACUUGUGGGUCUACACCCCAAAGAAAUGAAAGCAGGAUCUCUAAGAGAUACUUGAACAUCUAUAUGCACAGCAGCAUUAUUCACAAGAGCCAACUGGUAGAAGCAACCCAAGUAUCUACCAACAGACGACUGGGUAAAGAAAACGUGGUCCAUACACGCAAUGGAAUAUUACUCAGCCUUGAAAAGGAAGAAAAUUCUGACACCCGCUACAGCACAGAUGAACCGUGAGGACAUUACGCAAAGUGAAACAUGCCAGCCACAAAAAUACAAACACUCGAUUGCAUUACUAGGAGCUACUUUCAGGGAGUCAAGUUCAUAGAGACAGGGCAUACAUGAGGGGUCAUCAGAGCUACCUAAGGAGUCAAAUUCACAGAGACAGAGUGAUCACCAGGCACGGCUUCCCUCAGCAGGCCGGGCCGGGUGCCUUGGUCCUGCUCACCACUCCUCUACAGGAGGCUGUGCCUGCCCCCCAUCAAGUCCCACCUCGGAAGGAACUUCCUGGGGGGCUGCUCACCUCGGCAUGCAAAGCAGAGCCCACACAACCCAGAGCCCCUGAGAAUUCCCUGGGUUUCAGCACAAUGAGGAUUAUUCAGAAGGAUGACUGUGGUCUUCCAGGGAGACAAAGGUUAAAGAUGAAAAAAGUCUGGAAGAAUGAAUAUACCUCAAAAUAAUAACCAU
rnacentral:lncRNA from 1 species